AACGCACGAGACCUGCGGACCUGCGGAAGGAUCAUUACCGAGUGAGGGCCCUCCGGGUCCAACCUCCCACCCAUGUUUAUCGUACCUUGUUGCUUCGGCGGGCCCGCCGUAAGGCCGCCGGGGGGCUUCCGUCCCCGGGCCCGCGCCCGCCGAAGACACCUGUGAACGCUGUAUGAAGAUUGCAGUCUGAGAUCAAAGCUAAAUUUGUUAAAACUUUUAGCAAUGGAUCUCUAGAUCGGA
rnacentral:misc_RNA from 1 species